CAUCAGCAAUAACUAUGAUGCACCAAUUAAUAGAAUAAUUUCGUCCCAUAGGUAUUUGGUCAUAAAUUAUCUGCAAGACAACAGCUAUAGGGCAACCAUUUAAUAAUAUCCGAAUGUGAAUCUUCCAUCAUAUACAGUUGUUGCCACCACUCCAUCCUUGCAAGGAGGUUACCAACAUACAAUUGUUGUUUUCAAUUCAGUUGGCACUCUAAAUUGCCUUAAAUGAAAAAUGCCAUGGUGGUUUCCACUUUUGCAACCUCAAUUACAGGAUAAAGGUAGAACCAGAUGCAAAUACAUGAAACAGAAACCAGUUUAUAAGGAUGAACUGUUGAGCAUAAGCAAGAAUACUCUGCCCCUUUAAUGGACUUCUUCCUCCAUGCAACCAUCUUUAGUACA